UACAGAGGGGGCAAGCGUUAUUCGGAAUUAUUGGGCGUAAAGAGCUCGUAGGCGGCUUGUCGCGUCGAAUGUGAAAUCUCGGGGCUCAACUCCGAGCUUGCAUUCGAUACGGGCAGGCUAGAGUUCGGUAGGGGAGACUGGAAUUCCUGGUGUAGCGGUGAAAUGCGCAGAUAUCAGGAGGAACACCGGUGGCGAAGGCGGGUCUCUGGGCCGAUACUGACGCUGAGGAGCGAAAGCGUGGGGAGCGAACAGG
rnacentral:rRNA from 1 species